CCGAGUUAGGGUUGUCCAAAACGGCCCGACCUCCCAACCCUGUGUCUACCAUACCUUGUCGUUGCUUCGGCGGACCGGUUGACCAGCCGGUCUUGACCGCCGGGGGACACCUGUCCUGGAGAGCGUCCGCCGAUGGCCCAACCACAAAAACUCUUGUAUCGAAAAUUGUCGACUGAAUUAUGUGAUUAAAAUCCAAA
rnacentral:misc_RNA from 1 species